rnacentral:rRNA from 1 species
UACGUAGGGUGCGAGCGUUAAUCGGAAUUACUGGGCGUAAAGUGUGCGCAGGCGGCCGAGCAAGUCGAGUGUGAAAGCCCCGGGCUUAACUUGGGAAUUGCGCUCGAAACUACUUGGCUGGAGUGUGGCAGAGGAAGGUGGAAUUCCACGUGUAGCGGUGAAAUGCGUAGAGAUGUGGAGGAACACCGAUGGCGAAGGCAGCCCCCUGGGUCGACACUGACGCUCAUGCACGAAAGCGUGGGGAGCAAACAGG